rnacentral:rRNA from 1 species
GACGAACGCUGGCGGCGUGCUUAACACAUGCAAGUCGAACGGAAAGGCCCUGCUUUUGUGGGGUUCUCGAGUGGCGAACGGGUGAGUAACACGUGAGUAACCUGCCCUUGACUUUGGGAUAACUCCAGGAAACUGGGGCUAAUACCGGAUAGGAGCUCCUGCUGCAUGGUGGGGGUUGGAAAGUUUCGGCGGUUGGGGAUGGACUCGCGGCUUAUCAGCUUGUUGGUGGGGUAGUGGCUUACCAAGGCUUUGACGGGUAGCCGGCCUGAGAGGGUGAACGGCCACAUUGGGACUGCGAUACGGCCCAGACUCCUACGGGAGGCAGCAGUGGGGAAUAUUGCACAAUGGGCGGAAGCCUGAUGCAGCAACGCCGCGUGCGGGAUGACGGCCUUCGGGUUGUAAACCGCUUUCGCCUGUGACGAAGCGUGAGUGACGGUAAUGGGUAAAGAAGCACCGGCUAACUACGUG